rnacentral:rRNA from 1 species
UUAAGCGACUAAGCGUACACGGUGGAUGCCCUGGCAGUCAGAGGCGAUGAAGGACGUGCUAAUCUGCGAUAAGCGUCGGUAAGGUGAUAUGAACCGUUAUAACCGGCGAUUUCCGAAUGGGGAAACCCAGUGUGUUUCGACACACUAUCAUUAACUGAAUCCAGGGUUAAUGAGGCGAACCGGGGGAACUGAAACAUCUAAGUACCCCGAGGAAAAGAAAUCAACCGAGAUUCCCCCAGUAGCGGCGAGCGAACGGGGAGCAGCCCAGAGCCUGAAUCAGUGUGUGUGUUAGUGGAAGCGUCUGGAAAGGCGCGCGAUACAGGGUGACAGCCCCGUACACAAAAAUGCACAUGCUGUGAGCUCGAUGAGUAGGGCGGGACACGUGGUAUCCUGUCUGAAUAUGGGGGGACCAUCCUCCAAGGCUAAAUACUCCUGACUGACCGAUAGUGAACCAGUACCGUGAGGGGAAAGGCGAAAAGAACCCCGGCGAGGGGAGUGAAAAAGAACCUGAAACCGUGUACGUACAAGCAGUGGGAGCACGCUUAGGCGUGUGACUGCGUACCUUUUGUAUAAUGGGUCAGCGACUUAUAUUCUGUAGCAAGGUUAACCGAAUAGGGGAGCCGAAGGGAAACCGAGUCUUAACUGGGCGUUAAGUUGCAGGGUAUAGACCCGAAACCCGGUGAUCUAGCCAUGGGCAGGUUGAAGGUUGGGUAACACUAACUGGAGGACCGAACCGACUAAUGUUGAAAAAUUAGCGGAUGACUUGUGGCUGGGGGUGAAAGGCCAAUCAAACCGGGAGAUAGCUGGUUCUCCCCGAAAGCUAUUUAGGUAGCGCCUCGUGAAUUCAUCUCCGGGGGUAGAGCACUGUUUCGGCAAGGGGGUCAUCCCGACUUACCAACCCGAUGCAAACUGCGAAUACCGGAGAAUGUUAUCACGGGAGACACACGGCGGGUGCUAACGUCCGUCGUGAAGAGGGAAACAACCCAGACCGCCAGCUAAGGUCCCAAAGUCAUGGUUAAGUGGGAAACGAUGUGAAGGAAGGCCCAGACAGCCAGGAUGUUGGCUUAGAAGCAGCCAUCAUUUAAAGAAAGCGUAAUAGCUCACUGGUCGAGUCGGCCUGCGCGGAAGAUGUAACGGGGCUAAACCAUGCACCGAAGCUGCGGCAGCGACGCUGAUGCGUUGUUGGGUAGGGGAGCGUUCUGUAAGCCUGCGAAGGUGUGCUGUGAGGCAUGCUGGAGGUAUCAGAAGUGCGAAUGCUGACAUAAGUAACGAUAAAGCGGGUGAAAAGCCCGCUCGCCGGAAGACCAAGGGUUCCUGUCCAACGUUAAUCGGGGCAGGGUGAGUCGACCCCUAAGGCGAGGCCGAAAGGCGUAGUCGAUGGGAAACAGGUUAAUAUUCCUGUACUUGGUGUUACUGCGAAGGGGGGACGGAGAAGGCUAUGUUGGCCGGGCGACGGUUGUCCCGGUUUAAGCGUGUAGGCUGGUUUUCCAGGCAAAUCCGGAAAAUCAAGGCUGAGGCGUGAUGACGAGGCACUACGGUGCUGAAGCAACAAAUGCCCUGCUUCCAGGAAAAGCCUCUAAGCAUCAGGUAACAUCAAAUCGUACCCCAAACCGACACAGGUGGUCAGGUAGAGAAUACCAAGGCGCUUGAGAGAACUCGGGUGAAGGAACUAGGCAAAAUGGUGCCGUAACUUCGGGAGAAGGCACGCUGAUAUGUAGGUGAGGUCCCUCGCGGAUGGAGCUGAAAUCAGUCGAAGAUACCAGCUGGCUGCAACUGUUUAUUAAAAACACAGCACUGUGCAAACACGAAAGUGGACGUAUACGGUGUGACGCCUGCCCGGUGCCGGAAGGUUAAUUGAUGGGGUUAGCGCAAGCGAAGCUCUUGAUCGAAGCCCCGGUAAACGGCGGCCGUAACUAUAACGGUCCUAAGGUAGCGAAAUUCCUUGUCGGGUAAGUUCCGACCUGCACGAAUGGCGUAAUGAUGGCCAGGCUGUCUCCACCGAGACUCAGUGAAAUUGAACUCGCUGUGAAGAUGCAGUGUACCCGCGGCAAGACGGAAAGACCCCGUGAACCUUUACUAUAGCUUGACACUGAACAUUGAGCCUUGAUGUGUAGGAUAGGUGGGAGGCUUAGAAGUGUGGACGCCAGUCUGCAUGGAGCCGACCUUGAAAUACCACCCUUUAAUGUUUGAUGUUCUAACGUUGACCCGUAAUCCGGGUUGCGGACAGUGUCUGGUGGGUAGUUUGACUGGGGCGGUCUCCUCCUAAAGAGUAACGGAGGAGCACGAAGGUUGGCUAAUCCUGGUCGGACAUCAGGAGGUUAGUGCAAUGGCAUAAGCCAGCUUGACUGCGAGCGUGACGGCGCGAGCAGGUGCGAAAGCAGGUCAUAGUGAUCCGGUGGUUCUGAAUGGAAGGGCCAUCGCUCAACGGAUAAAAGGUACUCCGGGGAUAACAGGCUGAUACCGCCCAAGAGUUCAUAUCGACGGCGGUGUUUGGCACCUCGAUGUCGGCUCAUCACAUCCUGGGGCUGAAGUAGGUCCCAAGGGUAUGGCUGUUCGCCAUUUAAAGUGGUACGCGAGCUGGGUUUAGAACGUCGUGAGACAGUUCGGUCCCUAUCUGCCGUGGGCGCUGGAGAACUGAGGGGGGCUGCUCCUAGUACGAGAGGACCGGAGUGGACGCAUCACUGGUGUUCGGGUUGUCAUGCCAAUGGCACUGCCCGGUAGCUAAAUGCGGAAGAGAUAAGUGCUGAAAGCAUCUAAGCACGAAACUUGCCCCGAGAUGAGUUCUCCCUGACCCUUUAAGGGUCCUGAAGGAACGUUGAAGACGACGACGUUGAUAGGCCGGGUGUGUAAGCGCAGCGAUGCGUUGAGCUAACCGGUACUAAUGAACCGUGAGGCUUAACCU